rnacentral:lncRNA from 1 species
GUCAUUUGUCAUAAUACACCGCCUAGCCUAAAACAGAAAGUUUUGACUCUUUUCUUUUCCUUUGAAUGAUGCCUUUUGCUUUGGGAGGAUGACAGUUUUGAACAUUCUUUUUUUUUUCUCAUUGAAAUUUUGACCCUAAAAGGCAGCACGUAAGUGUCAAAUUUGAACAUUAUUUGAUUAUAAAAUUGUUCAGCAUUUAGCAUCAAGUCGAACCAUAACAGUUCACAAAAUCAUAGGUCCGAGAUAUUGUGGAAAAAGUGAAACUUUUGGUUCUACGCCAAGCGUUGUGUUGUGACAAAUGAUCACUGAAUUCUAAUGGUACUAAACGAAGACGUAAUCUGACGAUGUGUUUCAGCAAAGGCCGAAAAAUUACUUGUGGCUAAUUUUCCCUUAAUAAGUUGCCAUCGACUGUUUCCUUCAGAGUUGUUUUCUUCGUCCAUCGUUGGCGGUGAAAACGGUG